AGCCAGACUCCUACGGGAGGCAGCAGUGGGGAAUCUUCCGCAAUGGGCGCAAGCCUGACGGAGCAAUGCCGCGUGAACGAAGAAGGUCUUCGGAUUGUAAAGUUCUGUCCUUAUCGAAGAGAGGGUAUAGAGUGAAAAAUGAUAUACUAGGACGGUAGAUGAGGAGGAAGCCCCGGCUAACUACGUGCCAGCAGCCGCGGUAAUACGUAGGGGGCGAGCGUUAUCCGGAUUUACUGGGUGUAAAGGGAGCGUAGGCGGCGCGUUAAGACUGAUGUGAAAACCCGAGGCGCAACCACGGGAGUGCAUUGGAAACUGGCGGGCUGGAGUGCCGGAGAGGUAAGCGGAAUUCCUAGUGUAGCGGUGAAAUGCGUAGAUAUUAGGAGGAACACCAGUGGCGAAGGCGGCUUACUGGACGGCAACUGACGCUGAGGCUCGAAAGCGUGGGGAGCAACCAGGAUUAGAUACCCGCGUAAU
rnacentral:rRNA from 1 species